AGUGAACGCUGGCGGUAGGCCUAACACAUGCAAGUCGAACGGCAGCACAGUAAGAGCUUGCUCUUACGGGUGGCGAGUGGCGGACGGGUGAGGAAUACAUCGGAAUCUACUUUUUCGUGGGGGAUAACGUAGGGAAACUUACGCUAAUACCGCAUACGACCUACGGGUGAAAGCAGGGGAUCUUCGGACCUUGCGCGAUUGAAUGAGCCGAUGUCGGAUUAGCUAGUUGGCGGGGUAAAGGCCCACCAAGGCGACGAUCCGUAGCUCGCCUGAGAGGAUGAUCAGCCACACUGGAACUGAGACACGGUCCAGACUCCUACGGGAGGCAGCAGUGGGGAAUAUUGGACAAUGGGCGCAAGCCUGAUCCAGCCAUACUGCGUGGGUGAAGAAGGCCUUCGGGUUGUAAAGCCCUUUUGUUGGGAAAGAAAAGCAGCAGGUUAAUACCCCGCUGUUCUGACGGUACCCAAAGAAUAAGCACUGGCUAACUUCGUG
rnacentral:rRNA from 1 species